AUUGGGGUAGAUAAUUUUGACCAAAAUAUCCCUAAGUUUUAAAGUUGGAUGUUGGUUGAAUUAAGGGUAGAAUAGUAAUAUCCCUAAUUUUUUUUUAUUUCAUUUGAUUUUCUAGAAAAGUCUUAGGUUGAAGUAAGAGAUUUAAUAUUAUUAAGUUAUAUUAAAUUAUUAUUAGGUACGUUAAUUAAAGAGAUAAAUCACAAAAUAAGAAUUUUACAACCCAUCUUCAUCUCUCUCUCUCUCUCUCUCUCUCUCUCUCUCUCUCUCUCUCUCUCUCUCUCUCUCUCUCUCUCUCUCUCUCUCUCUCUCUCUCUCUCUCUCUCUCUCUCUCUCUCUCUCUCUCUCUCUCUCUCUCUCUCUCUCUCUCUUCGAAGCCCUAGGAACCCAACAAAAAAUUUGAGUAAUUCCAUCUCAAUUCAUCCAUCUUCUAGCUAAAAUAACCAACUCUUGGAGUUGUUCAAGCCUUGAGUGAUUUUGCUGGCGACAAUGCAAUUCUGACGACUUUUUUGACGCCGGCAAUAACUCUGGCGAUUUUUCCGACAUCAGCAACUACUCCGGCGACUUUUCCGGCACCGACAUCAAACUCCAGAAUAGUCGUCAGACUUAGCAUUGUCACCGGUAAAAUUACCGGAAAAAUCACCAAGAAACCGGUUUCUUCAUCAAGAAACCAGUUUCUUGGUGACUUUUCCAGCGACAAUGCUAGUUCUGACAACUUUUUCGGCGCCGGCAGCAACUCCGACGACUUUUUCGGCACCGGCAAUAAACUACGGUGAUUUUUUCGGCACGAGUGACAACUUCGGCGAUCACUAUAGUUUUAUUUAUUUUAUUUUUUUAAAAAAAUAAAUAUGAAAGGAAUUUUAAUAUUUUUUAUGGUAAUUUAAUUAAGUUUUUAUUUUUUAUAAAUUUUAAAUUUAGAUAUCUUUUUAAUGUUUUAUAUGGUUUUUUUUCUAAAAAAAAACAAUAUUUUUAGUUUAAUUGGUUAAAUAAUAUCAUAUUUAGUGGUAUUUACUUUUUAUAUUAUAUUUAUCAUAACCUUAAUAAUUUUUCUCAUAUCUUUUAAAAUAACCCCAGAGAUAUAUAUAUAUAUAUAUAUAUAUGCACAUAUCAUGAUUGCUUUACUUAGAGGACACAAUUAGUUAUGUGUUUAAAGUUAAGAUACUGAGAUGUGAUUAACCAUUGAAACAAAGCAUUAUAGAAAAAUAUUGUCGGCGCACACAUGCUUGGCAAAAGAAAAUAAUUAUACAAAUGGGAGGGUUAGUUUAGUAAAUUCCAAAACUUUAUCCAACUUUUUCAAAUUUAAGUUGUACCAAAAUUUUGUCAGCAUAUAUACAUGGAUACUACCCAAUUAGAUUUAUGUAUACUUUUAUCCAAUAAUUAAACAAAUUGUAAAGCGAUGAUGCUGUUCAAGUAGUACCCUAGCUAAUUUUAAUUAAAUUUGGUACGAAAUUUGACUUUUCUUGAUGAGGUAAAAUGGGCACACGACACAUCGACACCUUCUUCUAACCAAAUUGGCUACUUAAAUUUUGGUUAAAGAAUGUGAAAAACCAUAACUGAAUUGGUCAUAAAAGAUAAUUACAUAAAUUAUUAUUUUUUAAAAAAAAAAAUUAUAUUUUUAUAUUUAAAAGAUAAUUUUCAUAAAAAUAACGCAAAAAUUAUAAAAAAAAAAUUAAAUAAAAUAAUAUAAAAAUAACAUCUAAAUAAUAAAAAUUUAAAAGAGUACAACUUAAAAGGUCAUAUUUUUUAUAAAUAAAAUAAAAGAAUUGUAAAAAUAAUUAAAAUUUCAUGAAACUAUAUUUUUAUAAUUUUUUUAUUUAUUUGGUGUGUUUGUGAAAUAAUUCCUAAAACGUAUGUGAAUUGGCCCUAACAAUGAAAAAUUAUUAGCAAACGUGGCUUAAGAAUAACACAAGUCAAAUAUAUCUUUCAAGACAAAAAAAAGUAUUUAUAUGUAAAUGAAAGAGAGCAUGUGGCGUUGUGGUAAAUUGACUCGCCUAGUUUUAAAAAACUAUUAUAA